CAGAAGAGUGUGAAACAGUGCCAUGAAC
rnacentral:piRNA from 1 species